rnacentral:tRNA from 1 species
UAGAUUGAAGCCAGUUGCAUAAGGUAUUUAGCUGUUAACUAAAUUUUCGUGGGGUUGGAGCCCGCCAAUCUAG